GUGGGGAAUCUUGCGCAAUGGGCGAAAGCCUGACGCAGCCAUGCCGCGUGAAUGAUGAAGGUCUUAGGAUUGUAAAAUUCUUUCACCGGGGACGAUAAUGACGGUACCCGGAGAAGAAGCUCCGGCUAACUUCGUGCCAGCAGCCGCGGUAAUACGAAGGGGGCUAGCGUUGCUCGGAAUGACUGGGCGUAAAGGGCGCGUAGGCGGACAGCUUAGUCAGAGGUGAAAGCCCAGGGCUCAACCUUGGAAUUGCCUUUGAUACUGGCUGUCUUGAGUUUGGGAGAGGUGAGUGGUACUCCGAGUGUAGAGGUGAAAUUCGUAGAUAUUCGGAAGAACACCAGUGGCGAAGGCGACUCACUGGCCCAAUACUGACGCUGAGGCGCGAAAGCGUGGGGAGCAAACAGGAUUAGAAACCCCAGUAGUCC
rnacentral:rRNA from 1 species